rnacentral:lncRNA from 1 species
CACCCACAAAGACUCUAGGCCUCACUGUGGAAAAACUAAUUAAACUAAUGUGAAGUCUACGGAUGGAGGCAUUUUUAUAACAUGAUGUUCCAAAUAAAGGUUAGAAAAUAAAACAAACAUUCAUUUUCUGUCAGGAGACCACACAAGAAAAAUGUAGCUGCAGAAAGUGUUUGCUUGGAGGAAGUUAGAAGAACGCGUGUCCAAAAUCAAGCUUGGUAUGGAAAGCCAGUGUCUAUGAGACAGUACCAGUUACAAUGGAUGGGACUACUCUUUUCACGUGGAAAAACCUGCAUGGAAGGCUCUGGGGGAGGAAAUCUCAUGGAAAUUCCCCUACAUCAUUCCAUCAGCAUGGUGAGUUU